rnacentral:rRNA from 1 species
GCUUACGGCCAUACCACCCUGAACACGCCCGAUCUCGUCCGAUCUCGGAGCUAAGCAGGGUCGGGCCUGGUUAGUACUUGGAUGGGAGACCGCCUGGGAAUACCAGGUGCUGUAAGCU